GCAUUGGUGGUUCAGUGGAUAGAAUUCUCGCCUGCCACGAGGGAGGCCCGGGUUCGAUUCCCGGCCAAUGCA